UGGAGUCAGGUGUGUGGAGUCAGGUCACCAGCUGCCAGUCGUCAUCAUCAUCCUGCUCUGUUUCAUAUACCUGGUUCCUACCACAACACUCUGCUAGAUCGUAGACUUUGUUCAUACAAAGACCUCAGCCUGACCCUGGCCCUGUCUCUAGACCUCCUGCCUCGCCUGCCUUCCUGAGCGGCUCAGCACACUCCCUGCUCCCUGGAUACCACUCUGCCUGGCUCCCCUUGGCGUUUCUCCUGCCUUGCUUGGCCCCAGCUUCUGCCAAGCUCACCUCAGCAUUCCCUCUGCUCUGCUUGGUCCAGUUUACACCCUAUUCUCAGUCCCUGGGUUCCAGCUCCCUGUCCAAGCCCGUGCUCCAGUCUCACAGCUACCAACCCAGCAAUAAAAAAAUCUUUCUAACUUA